rnacentral:lncRNA from 1 species
GUUCUUCUGUGAAGGUAAAGCUAUGGGGUGAUAUGGGGUGAUAUGGGGUGAUAUGGGGUCUCUAUGGGGUGAUAUGGGGUGAUAUGGGGUCUCUAUGGGGUGAUAUGGGGUCUCUAUGGGGUGAUAUGGGGUGAUAUGGGGUCUCUAUGGGGUGAUAUAGGGUGAUAUGGGGUCUCUCUGGGGUGAUAUGGGGGGAUAUGGGGUGAUAUGGGGCGAUAUGGGGUGAUAUGGGGGGAUAUGGGGUCUCUAUGGGGUGAUAUGGGGCGAUAUGGGGUCUCUAUGGGGUGAUAUAGGGUGAUAUGGGGUCUCUAUGGGGUGAUAUGGGGUCUCUAUGGGGUGAUAUAGGGUGAUAUGGGGUCUCUAUGGGGUGAUAUGGGGUCUCUAUGGGGUGAUAUGGGGGGAUAUGGGGUCUCUAUGGGGUGAUAUGGGGCGAUAUGGGGUCUCUAUGGGGUGAUAUAGGGUGAUAUGGGUUCUCUAUGGGGUGAUAUGGGGUGAUAUGGGGUCUCUCUGGGGUGAUAUGGGGGGAUAUGGGGUGAUAUGGGGCGAUAUGGGGUGAUAUGGGGUCACUAUGGGGUCUUUAUGGGGCUCUAUGGGGCACUAUGGGGCUCUAUGGGGUAAUAUGGGGUGAUAUGGGGUCUCUAUGGGGUGAUAUGGGGUCUCUAUGGGGUGCUAUUGGGUCAUUAUGGGGUUCUAUGAGUUCUAUGGGGUCCUCAUUGGGUUCUAUUGCUCGCUAUGGGGCAGGGGUGAAGGUGAUGUUCCGUGUGGGGCUAUGGGGUCCUCAUUGGGUUCUAUGGGGUCUAUGGGGUCCUCAUUGGGUUCUAUGGGGUCUAUGGGAUCCUCAUUGGGUUCUAUGGGGUCCUCAUUGGGUUCUAUGGGUUCUAUGGGGUCCCCAUUGAGUUCUAUGGGGUCCUCAUUGGGUUCCAUUGCUCGCUAUGGGGCAGGGGUGAAGGUGAUGUUCCAUGUGGGGCUAUGGGGUCCUCAUUGGGUUCUAUGGGGUCCUCGUUGGGUUCUAUGGGGUCUGUGGGGUCCUCAUUGAGUUCUAUGGGAUCCUCAUUGGGUUCUAUGGGGUCCUCAUUGGGUUCUAUGGGGUCUAUGGGGUCCCCAUUGGGUUCUAUGUGGUCCCCAUUGAGUUCUAUGG